UUUAUGAAGAGUUUGAUCCUGGCUCAGGAUGAACGUUUGCGGCGUGCCUAAGGUAUGCAAGUCGAACGAGAAUUGCGGAGCUUGCUCUGCAAUUCUAGUGGCAGACGGCUGAGUAACGCGUAGGAACUUACCCUCAAGUCAAGGAUACCUUUCCGAAAGGAAAGUUAAUCCUGGAUAUGAUCUUCGGAUCAAAGGCUUUGGUCGCUUGAGGAUAGGCCUGCGUCCUAUCAGGUUGUUGGUGAGGUAAUGGCUCACCAAGCCUAUGACGGGUAACUGGUCUGAGAGGAUGAUCAGUCAGAAUGGAACUGCGAUACGGUCCAUACUCCUACGGGAGGCAGCAAUUAGGAAUCUUGCACAAUGGACGAAAGUCUGAUGCAGCGACGCCGCGUGGAGGAAGAAGGCUCUCGGGUUGUAAACUCCUUUUAUGUGGGAACAAGUUCUGAGUGUACCACAUGAAUAAGGCCCCCCUAACUACGUGCCAGAAGGGUCGGUGAUGCGUAGGGGCCGAACGUUAUCCGGAAUUACUGGGCGUAAAGAGAUGCGUAGGCGACCUGAUAAGUCUUAUGUGAAAGCCCGAGGCUCAACUUCGGAAUUGCAUAAGAAACUAUUAGGAUUGAGUCAGACAGGGGAAAGCAGAAUUCCAGGUGUAGCGGUGAAAUGCGUUGAUAUCUGGAGGAAUACCAAUGGCGAAGGCAGCUUUCUGGGUCUAGACUGACGCUAAGGCUCGAAAGCGUGGGGAGCAAAACGGAUUAGAUACCCGUGUAGUCCACGCUGUAAACUAUCCCUACUAGAUGUAUGAUAUGGAUCUCCGAUUUGGCUUAGGUCAUUUUGGGUUCAUAUUGUGUGUCGCAGCUAACGCAGUAAGUAGGGCGCCUGGGGAGUACGAGCGCAAGCUUAAAACUCAAAGGAAUUGACGGGGACCCGCACAAGCAGUGGAGCGUUUGGUUUAAUUCGAUGCUAAACGAAGAACCUUACCAAGGCUUGAACUGUAGCUGUACCUUUCCCGAAAAGGAAAGGGUCUUCGAGAUCGCUACAGAGGUGCUGCAUGGCUGUCGUCAGCUCGUGUCGUGAGAUGUUGGGUUAAGUCCCG
rnacentral:rRNA from 1 species